AACGCGAAGAACCUUACCUACUCUUGACAUCCAGAGAACUUUCCAGAGAUGGAUUGGUGCCUUCGGGAACUCUGAGACAGGUGCUGCAUGGCUGUCGUCAGCUCGUGUUGUGAAAUGUUGGGUUAAGUCCCGCAACGAGCGCAACCCUUAUCCUUGUUUGCCAGCGAGUAAUGUCGGGAACUCCAGGGAGACUGCCGGUGAUAAACCGGAGGAAGGUGGGGACGACGUCAAGUCAUCAUGGCCCUUACGAGUAGGGCUACACACGUGCUACAAUGGCGCAUACAGAGGGCGGCCAACUUGCGAGAGUGAGCGAAUCCCAAAAAGUGCGUCGUAGUCCGGAUCGGAGUCUGCAACUCGACUCCGUGAAGUCGGAAUCGCUAGUAAUCGUGGAUCAGAAUGCCACGGUGAAUACGUUCCCGGGCCUUGUACACACCGCCCGUCACACCAUGGGAGUGGGCUGCAAAAGAAGUAGGUAGUUUAACCUUCGCG
rnacentral:rRNA from 1 species